UCUCUGUGUGCUCCCUAGGAACCUUUGGGAUUCCGCAGCUGACAUAAGUUUCUGAGCAGCUUGGGAAGUCAGUGUGACCUUGGGCAGGCCACAUAUCCUUGUGGGUCAUAGAACCUGUAACCUAGAUUCCGUGUCUAGACAUCUGAAAACGAGCCAAAGCUGACCAUGAUGGGUCCUUUUCUGCAGUGAGGAAACUGAACCCCACAGGAUUCAACUUGCCUACAGAAUAAGUAUGGCUUGUUCUAUCUAGGUCAUGCCCAGAGUAAAUGACUGAGACUAGAUUUGAACUUAGGUCUUUUGACUCUAAAUUCAGUACUUUUUUCACUGUCCUAGA